rnacentral:rRNA from 1 species
GAUGAACGCUGGCGGCGUGCCUAAUACAUGCAAGUCGAGCGAACAGACGAGGAGCUUGCUCCUCUGACGUUAGCGGCGGACGGGUGAGUAACACGUGGAUAACCUACCUAUAAGACUGGGAUAACUUCGGGAAACCGGAGCUAAUACCGGAUAACAUGUUGAACCGCAUGGUUCAACAGUGAAAGACUGUCUUGCUGUCACUUAUAGAUGGAUCCGCGCCGCAUUAGCUAGUUGGUAAGGUAACGGCUUACCAAGGCAACGAUGCGUAGCCGACCUGAGAGGGUGAUCGGCCACACUGGAACUGAGACACGGUCCAGACUCCUACGGGAGGCAGCAGUAGGGAAGCUUCCGCAAUGGGCGAAAGCCUGACGGAACAAGGCCGCGUGAGUGAUGAAGAUCUUCGGAUCGUAAACCUCUGUUAUUAGGGAAGACCAAAUGUGUAAGUAAAUAUGCACGUCUUGACGGUACCUAAGCAGAAAGCCACGGCUAACUACGUG